rnacentral:rRNA from 1 species
GGUUCAUUGAGGAAGUAAAAGUCGUAACAAGGUCUCCGUUGGUGAACCAGCGGAGGGAUCAUUAUCGAGUUACCACUCCCAAACCCCCUGCGAACACCACAGCAGUUGCCUCGGCGGGACCGCCCCGGCGCCCCAGGGCCCGGACCAGGGCGCCCGCCGGAGGACCCCCAGACCCUCCUGUCGCAGUGGCAUCUCUCAGUCAAGAAGCAAGCAAAUGAAUCAAAACUUUCAACAACGGAUCUCUUGGUUCUGGCAUCGAUGAAGAACGCAGCGAAAUGCGAUAAGUAAUGUGAAUUGCAGAAUUCAGUGAACCAUCGAAUCUUUGAACGCACAUUGCGCCCGCCAGCACUCUGGCGGGCAUGCCUGUCCGAGCGUCAUCUCAACCCUCGAGCCCCCCGCCUCGCGGCGGCGGGGCCCGGCCUUGGGGGUCACGGCCCCGCGCCGCCCCCUAAACGCAGUGGCGACCCCGCCGCGGCUCCCCUGCGCAGUAGCUCACCGAGAACCUCGCACCGGAAGCGCGGAGGCGGUCACGCCGUGAAACCACCACGCCUUCCAGUUGACCUCGGAUCAGGUAGGGAUACCCGCUGAACUUAAGCAUAUCAAUAAGGCGGAGGAA